rnacentral:rRNA from 1 species
GUCGAGAAUCUUCCGCAAUGCGCGAAAGCGUGACGGAGCGACACCGCGUGAUGGAUGAAGUCCUUCGGGGCGUAAACAUCUUUUAUAAAGGAGGAAAUUUUUGACGUUACUUUAUGAAUAAGGGGCUCCCAAUCUCGUGCCAGCAGGAGCGGUAAUACGAGAGCCUCAAGCGUUAUCCGGAAUCAUUGGGCGUAAAGGGUGCGUAGGUGGUUUGAUUAGUCUCCCGUUAAAACUUCGAGCUUAACUCGAAAAGAGCGGGGGAAACGGUCAAACUAGAGUAUGUGAGAGGUGUGUGGAACUCAUGGUGUAGGGGUGAAAUCCGUUGAUAUCAUGGGGAACACCAAAAGCGAAGGCAGCACACUGGCACAUCACUGACACUGAGGCACGAAACCUAAGGGAGCGAAUGGGAUUAGAAACCCCUGUAGUCC